rnacentral:rRNA from 1 species
CCCUUAGAUGUCCUGGGCCGCACGCGCGCUACACUGAGUGUCUGAGAUACGAGUCUGCCUGGUCCGGCAAGGUCUAGGUAAUCGCUAAAAGACACAUCAUGCUUGGGAUAGAUUAUUGCAAAUAUUAAUCUUGAACGAGGAAUUCCUAGUAAGCGCAAGUCAACAGCUUGCGUUGAUUACGUUCCUGCCCUUUGUACACACCGCCCGUCGCUACUACUGAUUGGAUGUUUAAGCGAGGUUCUCGAACUGCUAGCGACUUAGCUUCGGUGAGGUCGCAGUGUGGGAAGUGAACCUAGCUUUGGUGUCUAGAGGAAGUAAAAGUCGUAACA